GGCAGAGGGAGGAAGGGAGAGCAUGAUGAAGGAACAAGGUGCAGUGAUUCUCUGCAUGAAUGGAGAGACUGGCUUUAAUUUGGACAGAGUGUCUCUCUGCAGUGAGAGGAAGGAAGGCUGAAGGUGUGGGUGCAGAUAUGUGUUAACAGGAGGUGGGGUUGCAGCAUCCGAGAAAGUUAUCUUCUGCGCAGAAGGAUGAAGGAGGAAGAGUUGGAGUCUGAGGAUGGAGGCUCAGCCAGGAGACGGGACCAUCAGUCUUACAUCCUUGGCUGGCGGACAGAGUGGAUUUUCUGACAGGAGCUGUGUUAUGCACUGGGCAACAUCUACCCUCCCUCACUAACCACUUCUCAUCUGGACUGUCACUGUAGAAUGUGUGGGAUCCAGAAUCCUUCUAUUAAGAAUACCUUCAGGAGUCUAUGCAGAGACCACAGACAGGAAAUGUUCCUGACAAUCUCUCGUUAUGUGACGCCUUGUCACCUGCUUCACCUCCCCCAACCUGUAUAACUGUUGCAGUUCCAUUCCCUGCAGAAGGAAACAAGAAGGAAGGUAAUUAUCAUAUUUAAUUUAUAUAUGAGGAAAUGUGUAAUAAUAUCUGAUUGUUGGGCUUAGACUUGAAUUUAGUUUUUUAUUCCAGUGGAGGUUUGUUAAGUAUUUGGCAUACUACCUCAUUUCUCAAAUUUAUCUUUCGAAUUCUCUACAUCUGCUAGAAGAAAAUGUUAAGGAGAUAAAUGCCGAAUUUCCAUCUUGAGCUGUCUUUAGCGCCAUCCACCUGCCAUCUGUAAUUGUGGCUGUUUGCAGGUUCAGCACCACCUGAGUCCACAUCAGUGACAUCGCUGCUCUAGUGUUAGUUUAUUUUCGCUUUGGAAGUGUUCCCCAUACAGCCAGGCCUUUUAGCUGUAUAGCUUCUAGCUUAGGGUCUGUGUGACUAGAAACAAGUAGAAAUAGUCUCUUGAAAAUUAGUCAUAAUCAUAAAGUUUAUACAAGCUAAGAAGACCUCAAAGCAAUUUUUUUCCAUAUGCAACAGAACAAUGGUACUGAUUUAGUCUUAUUUGAGAAUUGAUUUAUAAUUCAUAAGUGAAAAAAUGUGAGAGAGUGAAUUGAAAAGUCGUAACAGUCACAUCUUUUUGUCUUUUUGCCUUUUCUAGGGCCACUCCCGCUGCAUAUGAAGAUUCCCAGGCUAGGGGUCUAAUCGGAGCUGUAGCCACCAGCCUACAGCAGAGCCACAGCAACAUGGGAUCCGAGCUGGGUCUGUGACCUACACCACAGUUCAUAGCAACGCCGUUCCUUUACCCACUGAGGGAGGCCAGGGAUCGAACCUGCAACCUCAUGGUUCCUAGUCGGAUUCAUUAACCACUGAGCCAUGAUGGGAACUCCCAUAACAGUCACUUCUAAUUCCUCUAUGCAAGUCAGGUACUUCUCUUUCAAAUUAAUUGUGACUGACUCUGGUACAGUGAAUAAUGCCACACACACGCACACACACACACGCACACACACACCCCAAAGAUGUCCCUGUUGUCUUCUCUAAAACCUGAGAAUGUGUUACCAAACAUGAUAUAAGGGACUUUUCAAGUAGGGGUUAAAGUAAAUAGUUUGUGAUGGAGAAGUUAUCCUGGAUUCUGUGGGUGGGUCAUGUAGUUAAAAGGGUCCUCUCUCUUAUACGUGAAGCAAGAGAAUCAGAGUUAUAUACGGAAGGUAAUGGGAUGACUGAAACAGAGAGAAAGAGACUUUUGAAGAUUCAGCCAUGCUGGCUUUGAAGAUAAAAGAAGGAACCAUUCUCCAAAGAAUACCCAUGGCCAUCACGAGCUGGAAAAGGCAAGGAAACAGCUUCUUCCGUAGAGCCUCUAGAAGGAACACAGCCUUACCAACACUUUAAUUUUAGCCAGUGAAAGCCAUUCUGGACAUCUGACCUCUAGAGCUACAAUAUUAUAAAUAUGUGUUGUCGAAGCCAACAUAUUUGUGGGUAAUUUAUUAUAACAUCAGUGAGAGACUAGUACAUUCAUUAAUGAUGAUUAGGGGAAGUGUAGAGCUUAGGAUCACACACUCUGGGUCUGGCUUGUCUGGGUUUGAGUUUUGACUCAGCCUAUUGUACUGUCGUGUGACCUUUAGUAAAUUAUUUAUACUCUCUGUGACUAAGUUUCCUUAUCUUUAAAAUGGGUAUGCUUAUGUAGCAUUGAUAUAAACAUUAAAUUAACUAGUUGAUUAAAAGAGCUGAGAAUAAUGCCUUCUACAAAAUAAGUGGUCAAUAAAUGUUAGCCAUUUGAGGAGAAAUAACAAGAGUUAACUAAUGCUUGAAUUAGGGGAAUUUUGCUUCAGAUAAUGCUUAGUGAUAGGAUUUUAAAGCUAGUCUAAUUGAUCUCCAUCUUUUCACAUGAAGGAUGUAGUAGAUGCCAUGUUUGUAUAUCUCUUUGUUUUUUUAGGGUCGCACGCACAGCAUAUGGAAGUUCCCAGGCUAGGGUCACAUCAGACCCAUAGCUGCCAGCAUACACCACAGCCACAGCAAUGUGAGAUCCGAGCUGUGUCUGUGACCUACACCACAGCUCAUGUCAACAACAGAUCCUUAACCUGAGCAAGGCCAGGGAUUGAACCUGCAUCCUUAUGGAUACUAGUCAGGUUUGUUAACCACUGAGCCACAAUGGGAACUCCUGUCUCUUAAUUUCCUAUCAAUUUUAAUUCUCAUCAUGUGCUAAGAUGAUUCUACUUAUGCUUAGUUCUUUAGCUAUGCAUGGGAGUUGUUUGACUUCUGAACUCUAGAUUACUAAGUAAAAUAAUAUAUUCAUCUAUACAGAGUUUGUUAAUACUUAUAUUUGUGGGUUUUAAUCCAUUUCACCAAACUCUUUUUGUCUUAGGCAAAGUAUCAUUAAAAAAGAUAAUAAUCCUUGGUUUUCAUGCCAUUUACUGGUUUAAUGAGAGAAAGAGUAAAUGUAUUAGAAGCAGUAAGAGAAGAAGAAUUUGGUUGCCUUCAAGUGCCUCUUUGGAAAGUUUAUCGAUAGAAAAUGUGUGGUUUCUUACCAUGUGAUAAGAUGUCCUUAUGGUAUGGAUUUCAGAAGGAUGGAUGCUAAGAAAAACUGAAGUUUAUUCUAGUCAUGUUUGAAGAAAACUUUCAGAGUCCUGAGUUGGAGAUGCAAUAAUGACAACCGAUUAUGUGACAAAGCCACUUUGCAGUACUUUAUGAAUAUCAAAAAUGGAGAAACAAUUUAAAAAAAUCAGAUGAGCACAAAGUGAUUCUUUGUUUCCAGGAUAAUAGAUUAUCCUGGUUGGUGAGAGAAACAAAAAAAGAGAGAGAGAGAGAGAAAGAAUUGCAUCAUUUUUUUUCUCCUAAAACUUGCAAAGAUACUUUAAUUUUGAACAAUCAUCCAUUUCUUCCUUCAUAGUGAAUAUCUCUUUAUCACUAUCAUCCCCAAAACAAAAUAGUCAAGGAGUAGUAGUAGAAUAGUAAAGACUCAAGGAAAAAUGCUGGCAAUGAAACCAGCCAGGGAAUCAAACUACUGGGGAACUAAAAACCCAGAGAGAGACAAACCUUUUUUGUGAUGGGCCAGUGAGUCCCAAAUUACUGUAGAAAAGUAAGAAGCAUUUCUCUGAACAUAUUACAGAAAACAUCUGGACCAAAAGGACUGGGCUUAAUUCCCUAUAAUUUGUUUUCUUCCUGAUUUCUUUGCAAGGAUUUUUUUGAUCAGAAGGAUCACUGAAAUAAUUUUAUACCACAGCUAGCCAGCAGUAAAAUCACACUGUAAUUGAUAUUGAAGUAACCUAAUUGUUUUUUUCUGGUUUAUUCCCCAAAGUCAUAUUUAAUUUGCUGUAUUGUCACAAGGAAUUUCAAGAAAGAAAAAAAGAUGUGAAGAAUUCUUUAUUUUCUGAAAAUUUAUUGUACAGUAGGUCGAGUUAGGCACUGGGCUGGUCACUGGAAUGUGUUAAAAUAAUCACUUUUAAUGACACAUGAACAAGUUAAAAACAUUGCUGUAGUCAAAUAAUUUGUUUACUACUUGUACAUGUAGCAAAGCAACUAUAUGGAAAGGCUAAGGUAAGGAAAUAGCCAGCUUCCAAGCUGAGGACAAAAAACAGGCAGUAAAACAAUAAGGAAGUUUCGAGAAAGGCACCUGGUGCAGCUCACAAAUCAUGAAUAGGUCUUUUCAGGUCUGAAACCAUAGAAACCCACAAAUAUUGCAGAUACCACGAGUUGCUGAAUUUCAUGGGUUUUCUCUAAAAUGAUUAAAAGUUUUCCCUUUUCUUACUAUUGAAUGAUUAUCUUAGGGAGUCAACAAUUUUGACAGCUUUGACAUAUUUGUAUUGGUAUUCUUCUAGGAGAAAUAGUCAUUUAGAAAAUAUUCCAACUGUAACAAAAUGGAUUUGGAAAAAAAAAAUACCCACUGAGACCCCUAAACCUCCAUGUCAAAUAAGAAAGAGCCAUCAAUGUGUUUGCUGCUCCACUUGUGGGGCUAAUCUGCCCGCUUAGCCUUACAGGAUGGUCAGAGUAGUUAAUUAAGAGCCAGGGGAACUGGGUUCUAUAGAGCAGAGAGCAGUUCACGGUGAAUGCAGGGUGAGGUAGCUUAUGGCUAGUGCUAACACAUUAAUCCCAAAUCAGUUAACCAGUAGAGUUUAAAGAACAACAACAUCUAAAUUGGGCUUUGAAUAAUUGAUGACAGCAGCUGAACUAUUAAAGGAAAAUGUCUCUUUCCUCUAGGAAGCCUAUAUGCCUAUAAUUGCUAAGCUUAUUUUCUCUCUGAUAGGAUACAGGUUCUCCCAAGAAUAUUUUCUUCCCUCUGAAACAUGAAGAGGAGCUCCAGUGACAUAUUUUUGAUGAAAGUGAUAGAAAAAUUAUAUGCUUUAAAAAGGCUGCCAGAUUAACUGAAUUGACUUAAAAAAAUCAUGCCCUUAAUUUUUCUGUUCAUGUCAGUACACAGCAGGAAAGACAGAAAUUAAAAAUUCCCUUUAUGCUGAGGGCUGUUGGGUGUGAGAGUGGGAUUAUGAAGGUGACUACCACAAAACAAAUUUUCGAUAUAAAAAGGAAAUUCUUUUAAAUCACAUCAAAAGACAGGUUUUUAAAAUACAGUAAUUACAAAGAAUCUUCGAAAGAAUUGAGCAUAACUCAUUACAAACUUGUAAAUUCAUUUCCUCUGAUGAAACAAUAAUCUUUCUAACCUCAUAACUCUUUCUAACCUUCAGAAAGUGUUAUUUGCAGAAUAAUUCCUGCAAAACUAUGAAACAAUGCAUAAUGCAAGUGACACUAAUUUUUCCUAUUUUCUCUUUUUCAUGUAUAUUGCAGAUGUCCAUAGGAACAGUUAAUGUUGGACUUUUGAAACUAGUGAUGGGGGUAAAAGAACAAGGAAUAGAGUUUGGGAAUAACUGAUCAGCAGAUAUAUUACAAUAAAGUUAGGGAUGUGGGAUGUUGACAUGCUAAAUGAAGAGCACAAAACCUGCAGCAUCAGGUUUUACAGACAUCAUGAGAAAAGGUUGGACAUGGUAAAAUUGCAAGUCAAAAGUCUGAGUAUUUACAUGCCUCUGUUUACAAACGUGUGAACAGUGUCUUAGAAUUCUCUGGUAAUCUUCUAGCCAUCACUUGUCUUACUCUUUUAUGUAAAAAGCACAGUUAAAAUUGGUAGUAUGUUCCCUCAUUCAUAUAUAAAAUGCUUAUUGUGUGCUAAGUUCUUAAGACAUUUGGGAUACCUCAUAUAUAAAAUGCUGAUUGUGUGCUAAGUUCUUAAGGCAUUUGGGAUACCUCAGUCAACAAAGCAGAAAAGAUCCCUCUGCAAAGCAUACAUUGGAGUGGGACGUGUAGAUAGUAAGUAGAGUAAAGACGUUGUAAGUUGUUAUAUCCUCUUGAAGAAAGGAAAACCUGGGGGUAAGAGAGAGCUGUGGUAAGAGAGCUUGGGGUUUGGGUUAUAAUUUUGAUAAGGAAAGGGAGCCUUACUGAGAACGUGGGUAAAGAGCAUAGUGAAGUUGAAGGAAUUGAGGAAGUACCCCAUUGAAAUAUCUGAGAAAGAUCUCUACAGGCAAAAGGGAUAACACCAAGGCAGAAGACUGCCUGCUUAUUUCUGCUACAGCAAGAAGGCCAGUGUGCUGGAGCAAUGAAAGCAGGUUCGAUGGUUUUAGGUCAGAAAUGUAGCUGUCUGCCAGAUCUUUGUUUUUAUGUCAUUAUAAGGAUUUUAGUUUUUAUUCUCUUUUUAAAAAUUUUUGUUAUAAUUGAUUUACAAUGUUCCUUCAAUUUCUGCUGUAAAGCAAAGAGACCCAGCCAUAUAUAUAUCUAUGUGGUAUAUAUACAUACAUAUAUAUAUAUAUAUACACAUACACACAUUAUUUUUUCCUUUCAUACUACCUUCCAUUCCAUCAUGUUCUAACCAAAGAGAAUGGACUUAGUUCCCUGUACUGUACUCUAGGACCCCAUUGUUUAGCAUUCCAAAUGUAAGAGUUUGUCUUCUAACCCUAAACUCCUUAUCCAUCCACUUCCCUCUGCUUCUCCCCACUGGCAACCACAAGUCUCCUUUCCAUGUCCUUGCUCUGUUUCUGUUUUGUAUAUAGGAUCAUUUUUGUUAUAUCUUAGAUAAAAUAGGAAACUAACAGCUCAUUGGUUCUAAAAGUAUGUUCUCCAAACCAGCAGAACCAGCAUCAUCUGGGAAAUUGUCGGAAAUAUGAAUUCUUAGGUCUCACUGGCCCAUCAGACUUUGUUUGAAUAAAAUGCUCCAAGUGAUUCAGAUAAAUAUUUAAGUUGUAGAACCAGUCCACUAGAUGAUUCUAAGCCAAAAAAAAAAAAAA
rnacentral:lncRNA from 1 species